UGGGGGAUAUUGCACAAUGGGCGAAAGCCUGAUGCAGCGACGCCGCGUGGGGGAUGAAGGCCUUCGGGUUGUAAACUUCUUUUGCUCUGAACAAGGCGCACCAUGGGGUGUGUUGAGUGUAGGGGUUGAUUAGCGCCGGCUAACUACGUGCCAGCAGCCGCGGUAAUACGUAGGGCGCGAGCGUUGUCCGGAAUUAUUGGGCGUAAAGGGCUUGUAGGUGGCUGGUUGCGUCUGUCGUGAAAGCUCAUGGCUUAACUGUGGGUUUGCGGUGGGUACGGGCUGGCUUGAGUGCAGUAGGGGAGGCUGGAAUUCCUGGUGUAGCGGUGGAAUGCGCAGAUAUCAGGAGGAAUACCGGUGGCGAAGACGGGUCUCUGGGCUGUUACUGACACUGAGGAGCGAAAGCAUGGGGAGCGAACAGG
rnacentral:rRNA from 1 species